rnacentral:tRNA from 1 species
GCCGGAUAGCUCAGUCGGUAGAGCAGGGGAUUGAAAAUCCCCGUGUCCUUGGUUCGAUUCCGAGUCCGGGCACCA